rnacentral:lncRNA from 1 species
CUAAGAAGCCCUCUUGCCUGUAGAACGAAAACAGUGAAAUGUGUUUUCAAGCUAUUUGAAGGUAAAUAAGAAGGAAAAAAAACUGUGCUGUUUUGCUAUCGUACUUGAAUAUUUGUUUGACUUCUAGCUAGAUAUGACUUUCUUGUGCUUCACGGGUUUACGGUCUAAGAAUUAAAUAGUCAAGCUAUUUGGUGAGUUCCUGAUGGAAGCAAAAAAAGAAAAAG